AUCUCUCUUUUGUUACAGAGAAACAGGAAAUAAUGAUAGAAAGUGAGACGGAAGAGAGGUUAUUAACCAUUAGAAGGCCGCUUGAAAAUAAAAACUGAACAGUAUCCAAUGAGAAAGGCCGGAAUCAGGACUGAUGUACUGAUGCAUCUUGGCAUUUAUUCUCUCAGAGUCUUCAGUACUCCUAGGUCAAGUGGCUGAGAAGGUGGACUUAAACUCUUUAUGUGACCUCCAUUGUCAGAAGGACAGAACUUGCAAGCUGGCUGAUUCAUUCCUCCCACGCCCGGAACCUGGCCCUAGAAGGAUUUGCAGCGUUCGGAUGCAGGCACAGCAGCAGGAGCCCACACUCAUCUCGAGAGAGGGCCCUUGAGGGAGACUAUGCCCAGAAGCCCCAUCCACAGAGUCCCACUAAGGGCUGUGGUUUCUCUCUGAUUUCACAUGGCUGACUGGAUCUCAGCAUUUCAGGAACCAACCUUUUACAGCAAGUGAUUUUCUUCACUAAACUCAAGACUGGCAAGCUCCUCUCUCUGUCUCUUUCUCUGCCUCUCUCGUCUGUCUCUGUCACUCUUGUGUGUGUGUGUGUGUGUGUGUGUGUGUGUGUCCGUGCACACAUACUCCUCUUCAUUUCUAGCAGUAUCUUAUUGCCUUAGUGAAGAGUGCAGUGAAGCAGAAAACAGAUUCAGGAAGUGACAGACGACACAAGCAUUUGUCCAAUUAGCAAUGAGAAAAUCAUAAGCACCGGUGGUGACCACUCAUGUUGAACAGCCAGCUCAGCAAAGAGCCUUGCUCCACAUCUCUCCGAUGUAAUUAGAACCAUUCAAGCCACGACUGACCAGCUUUUCCCUGCAUUUUUAGUAUAUUGCAGAGCCUGCACUCUCUUGGACGUUAAUGAGGAACAUGAAGCCAUCAAUAGUUUUGAUUAAGCCAAAGACUAUUGCACUAUUUAGAUGUACCAUAUUUCAUCCAUUCUAAGACAUGCCUUUUUCCUCCCACGUUUUAACAUCUUUCAAAUCAAAAUGUGCCUCAGAAUCAAGGCAAUCAUGGUAUAGUUGUCAUUGCCUCUGCAUGGCAAACUUGGUCACAGCUGUUUAUAUUGUCAUCUGAAUUUCAGCUGAGUUCAAUAUGUGGUUGCAAGGACGGGUGUUGAGGUUCAAUGCCAUUUAAAAGUCUCUCAAAAGAUUAUCCUACAUUUUGGCAUUCAAAUAAUGAGCUAUUGUGUGUGCAUAAAGAAACAGAGGAGUGGGGUGUAAACUGACAUUUGUGAAGCAAAUAUUUGUUGUUAUAGGAACAACUGCAAUUCCAUACUUUCUCCCAAAGCAACAACCAACUGCUUUCAAGACCUAAAAAAAGAAGAAAUCCACGAGAAAUGAUGCAGUUAUAUUUGCCCCACACCAACAAUGCAACUGAAAGCAGUAGUAACAGCAGAAUCCCUUGGAAGAGACGAAAGAAAUUUCAGAGUAGCAAAGGGCUAGUGUUACAGAUGCAAGGGCCACAUACAACUACUUCUAGGACAUUAUGUCAGAGUUUAAAGCCACUUUUUUAAUCUUAGAAGUUCAUAAAAUAAUGGUGAAUCUUAUACUGUGUGGUUUCUUAGGUCUGAUGAAAUCUAGUAUGUCCAGAAUAAAACCCACAGCUACCCGUUAAAGUGCUUGAGAAUUUGUAAAGGGUCAAUCUACAUCCAAGAAACGGUAGCCACUUUCAGACUUGGAUUUGAAACAGAGCUAGGCCUCAGUACCCAAAGGCAUCACCCACCCUAUCGCAGAUGUCAUCAGUUGCCAUCUCAUACCCUAUUUCCCCUGCUAACAGAACCCUGAGUUGAUUCAAGGAUUAGGGAGACUUGUACUUCAGAGGAGACCUGGUUCUCCUCUACCCCAGAGAAUUUUCAUUAACCAAUCACAACAUGAUGGUCUCUUUUCUUUCCCAUUGGUUAUUUUAGGGGUGGCAUGUAGUACAGUUUCGGCCAAUGAGAUAUGAAAGAAGGGAAGAGGGAGGGUGGGAUCUUAAAAACAAAGAUGCAUGAGAAGGAAAAAAUAAGGCGUCUUUUCCAUCGCUGGGCUUGGUGAUGCCUGGAACUACUGCAGCCAUCUUGCAACCAUGAGGAAGCAACUGAGAGACAAAGACACACACUGAAGAUGACAGAGACAGAAGAUGGAGACGGCAUAAAUCCUUGAUGACAUCACUGAACUACUUUCUUAAGCAAGCCUAAAGACUGGUUUCUGUCUAGUUUCACUGCUUAUAUGGGAUAUUAAACAUCUUUAUUAUUCAAUCCAC